GACAAACGUUGGCGGCGUGCCUAAUACAUGCAAGUCGAACGGAACUGCAGUAGCAAUAUUGCAGUUUAGUGGCAAACGGGUGAGUAAUGCAUGGGUAACGUUCACCAAAGACCGGGACAACAGCCCGAAAGGGUUGCUAAUACCGGAUGUGGUUGCAGGGACCCAAGUUCCUGCAAUUAAACGAUGGCCUCUACUUGUAAGCUAUCGCUUUGGAAUCGGCCAUGUCCAAUUAGCUUGUUGGUGAGGUAAUGGCUCACCAAGGCUGCGAUUGGUAGCCGGUCUGAGAGGAUGUACGGCCACACUGGGUCUGCGACACGGCCCAGACUCCUACGGGAGGCAGCAGUAGGGAAUCUUCCACAAUGGACGAAAGUCUGAUGGAGCGACGCCGCGUAGAGGAUGAAGGUCUUCGGAUUGUAAACUCUUUUCGUUUGGGAACAAGUGUAUCUGCGUGAAUAAUGCAGGUAUUUGAUGGUACCAAAGGAAGAAGCUACGGCUAACUCUGUGCCAGCCGCCGCCGUAACAC
rnacentral:rRNA from 1 species